AGUCACACCGUUUCGAAGAGGUUUUACCAUUUACUUUUACGCUACUUACUCGCCUAUAUAUACUAACCCUUUUCUUUCAUGGAAAAUCAUCUUGAAAAAUAUGAAUUGUAAAGAUUGCCGGAAGAAACAGAGACAACAAUUACUACGAAUUGUUAACGGCGAUACCGUUAUGGACGAGGGUGGUUUGUUCAAGGUUUGAUCGGAACGACCCGGUUGAAUGUUAAUAGUUUAUCCAUGAAGAAACCUUCCAGUUGUGGUGAUCUAGCGGUAGGCCGGUUCGACGGUCGGAUUAUUAAGUGAUUUAAACUUUUGUUAAAGAUGGCGACGGUCUUAUUUUAGAUAUGCAUUCCAUUUGCCGCCUGCCAAGUAUAUAAAUGAUGGUGAAGAUGAGGACUUCGGUGGUAAAGUGAGAAAUUUGAAAAGUUGAAUAUGAAGAUAAAGAAAAUAUGCAGGGAUGAGCGUUUAAUUCUUUUAUCACUUACGAGGAAAAUCUUCAACCAAUUCUUUUAUCAGUUACGAGAAAAUCUUCAACCAAGAAGAAUGUAGAACAGGGCAUCCCGGAAGUUGCGUGCCAGACCCCUGUUAUGAAAAAAGUUACAAUAAAAAACAAAGAAAAAAUCGAAUCUUUAUAAUUGAUCAUUAAACCGACACCAAAAUAUCAUAUUCAGUUAUAGACUAAACCGGAUUGUUCAAUUUCGAAGAGUUCCAAGAAAGAAAAUGAUGAACAGGGUAUCGCAUGGCUUCUGUGACGAGAAAUACUGAAAACAAAAUGGAAAUCAUUUUGGCUUAAUCAAAAUGCAUCAAAAGGAAUUAUGAAGAACCGAUGUUUGGAAAACAAAAGUUUUGUUAUGAUAAAAAGAUAUAAGUUUUAUUUAUUUG